rnacentral:lncRNA from 1 species
GUUAGUUUUGCACCUUACUCAGCUGCUAAUCCCUUGACAGCCUAGAACUGCUUUACUCAUCCUCCUUGUACGUGGAACUGACAUAACCUACCAUUGUUCCAGUUUUUAAAAUGCACAGUUGAAAAGCCUUAAGUGUUUAUGGUGUGGGCAGCUCUCAUGGGUUGGGAGCCAGAACCUGAAGGUACUCCUGUUGACACCUGCGCCGGGUCCCCGUUAAAAACAAAAAAACCAUCUUUCUAAUCAAAGGUAGGCCAGAGACUCAUUCAAAUUGACCUGCACAAUGGCAGUUGGUGGGCAUCACUACCUGGU